UUAGCUUGCAAGGGGAGAUCUAGGUAUAUUUCGUGGAUUAUGGAAAAUUUUAUAUUAAGAUUUAAAGUUUGACGUCAUAUAAUGUAAUACGUAAUAUUUAAGAAUCAAUGGACUAAAGGAUCGAAGUUAUAAAAUUUUAUCGUUUGAAAUGGCAGCAAUAGUAAACAGUUGGCCAUUAUCACAUAUUCAAGACACGAAAUAGUCAAGGUUUUAUUCAGCUUUGUGCUGUGUCUCUUAAUGCUAAAUAGAGUGCAUGGAAUCAAACGGAGUGUAUAUUUCUUUGAUAUUAAUGUAGAAAAGGGAGAAACAUUUUAUAUAUCUAACGAUAAGUAUUCGAAUUUUUCUGGAAUUGAAUACGGCACUUGGAAAUUGCACAGCCUCUUUAUUAUCGAAGCGACGUGUUCCAUUGAGCUAAAUGAUAAUUGUAUUGCAAAUAAAUUUCUUGUUAUUAAUCAUCUGGAAAUUAAUCAUCUAUCUAUUGUGGUAAUGAUAAAAUAGCCUUCGAAGGAUGCAAUCUAAUUAUAAAAUUUGUUUCGACAUUUCAAAGUCGAUUUUUAUGUGAAAUUAAAACUAAUGAUAAUACUCAGUGUGGUAAGUCGGAAA